rnacentral:rRNA from 1 species
UACGUAGGGCGCAAGCGUUGUCCGGAAUUAUUGGGCGUAAAGAGCUCGUAGGCGGCCUGUUGCGUCCGCUGUGAAAUCCCGGGGCUUAACCCCGGGCCUGCAGUGGAUACGGGCAGGCUGGAGGCAGGCAGGGGAGAACGGAAUUCCCGGUGUAGCGGUGAAAUGCGCAGAUAUCAGGAGGAACACCAAUGGCGAAGGCAGAUCUCUGGGCCGUAACUGACGCUGAGGAGCGAAAGCAUGGGGAGCGAACAGG